ensembl:lncRNA
AAGCAUCAAAAUAAUUGAAUACUGUAAUGGCUCAGCACCUGGCUUAAAGUUAUAAUACUAAGAUUUACAUUAUUCUUAGCCACAGGCAUAUUUUUCACCAGCUUUUAACAACCCACCUCCUUUUCCCCUUCCCUCCCACACAAUAACUGGGAUGACUUGUCUAGAUCUUAGGCAAAAAUUCACUUAGCACAUCAGCUCCUGGAAACAAAUGCACUUAACCAGAAAAAUAGGGACAUCAACCAGCAAAGAUGCAUCCUCAUUUAAUAGAGCUUGAAAUUACUAUAAUCUGUAAAGUACAGUGAGAAGAAGAAGUUUCACCUGCCUGCACAUCAGUCAUUGAUUCUCCAUUUGACUUGGAGGGACUCUGAGGGACCGACCUGAGCCUGAGAAGAGGCAAGAUUCCCCUUCAAGGACACACUGGGAACUUACGGACCUCUUUCUCCAUGGUGCAGAGCACAGAGCGCUCACAAAUGCACGUGUGUUCUGAGAAUCAAAGGGUCAGCCUUGGACACAUCUGGCAUAUCAAGUGAAGAAACAGACUCAGAAUAGUCCUUGAGCUUGCCACUGGGAAGUGAAAAUCAAUUGCUUGAAUAAAUG